rnacentral:tRNA from 1 species
CAGGACAUAGCUAGGGAGUAAGCUACUCUUUUACACGGAGUGAAGGUUUGUGCAACUCAAACUGUCUUGA